rnacentral:rRNA from 1 species
UGGGGAAUAUUGGACAAUGGGCGAAAGCCUGAUCCAGCCAUGCCGCGUGUGUGAAGAAGGUCUUCGGAUUGUAAAGCACUUUAAGCUGGGAGGAAGGGCAGUAAGCGAAUACCUUGCUGUUUUGACGUUACCGACAGAAUAAGCACCGGCUAACUCUGUGCCAGCAGCCGCGGUAAUACAGAGGGUGCAAGCGUUAAUCGGAAUUAUUGGGCGUAAAGCGCGCGUAGGUGGUUCGUUAAGUUGAAUGUGAAAGCCCCGGGCUCAACCUGGGAACUGCAUCCAAAACUGGCGAGCUAGAGUAGGGCAGAGGGUGGUGGAAUUUCCUGAGUAGCGGUGAAAUGCGUAGAUAUAGGAAGGAACACCAGUGGCGAAGGCGACCACCUGGGCUCAUACUGACACUGAGGUGCGAAAGCGUGAUGAGCAAACAGG